GACGAACGCUGGCGGCGUGCUUAACACAUGCAAGUCGAACGGAAAGGCCCUGCUUUUGUGGGGUGCUCGAGUGGCGAACGGGUGAGUAACACGUGAGUAACCUGCCCUUGACUUUGUGAUAACUUCAGGAAACCGGGGCUAAUACCGGAUAGGAGCUCCUGCUGCAUGGUGGGGGUUGGAAAGUUUCGGCGGUUGGGGAUGGACUCGCGGCUUAUCAGCUUGUUGGUGGGGUAGUGGCUUACCAAGGCUUUGACGGGUAGCCGGCCUGAGAGGGUGACCGGCCACAUUGGGACUGAGAUACGGCCCAGACUCCUACGGGAGGCAGCAGUGGGGAAUAUUGCACAAUGGGCGGAAGCCUGAUGCAGCAACGCCGCGUGCGGGAUGACGGCCUUCGGGUUGUAAACCGCUUUCGCCUGUGACGAAGCGUGAGUGACGGUAAUGGGUAAAGAAGCACCGGCUAACUACGUG
rnacentral:rRNA from 1 species